UGGGGAAUAUUGGACAAUGGGCGAAAGCCUGAUCCAGCCAUGCCGCGUGUGUGAAGAAGGUCUUCGGAUUGUAAAGCACUUUAAGUUGGGAGGAAGGGCAGUAAGCGAAUACCUUGCUGUUUUGACGUUACCGACAGAAUAAGCACCGGCUAACUCUGUGCCAGCAGCCGCGGUAAUACAGAGGGUGCAAGCGUUAAUCGGAAUUACUGGGCGUAAAGCGCGCGUAGGUGGUUCGUUAAGUUGAAUGUGAAAGCCCCGGGCUCAACCUGGGAACUGCAUCCAAAACUGGCGAGCUAGAGUAGGGCAGAGGGUGGUGGAAUUUCCUGUGUAGCGGUGAAAUGCGUAGAUAUAGGAAGGAACACCAGUGGCGAAGGCGACCACCUGGGGUCAUACUGACACUGAGGUGCGAAAGCGUGGGGAGCAAACAGG
rnacentral:rRNA from 1 species